GAUGAACGCUAGCUACAGGCUUAACACAUGCAAGUCGAGGGGAAACGACAUCGAAAGCUUGCUUUUGAUGGGCGUCGACCGGCGCACGGGUGAGUAACGCGUAUCCAACCUGCCCACCACUUGGGGAUAACCUUGCGAAAGUAAGACUAAUACCCGAUGAUAUCUCUAGAAGGCAUCUGAAAGGGAUUAAAGAUUUAUCGGUGAUGGAUGGGGAUGCGUCUGAUUAGCUUGUUGGCGGGGUAACGGCCCACCAAGGCAACGAUCAGUAGGGGUUCUGAGAGGAAGGUCCCCCCACAUUGGAACUGAGACACGGUCCAAACUCCUACGGGAGGCAGCAGUGAGGAAUAUUGGUCAAUGGGCGAGAGCCUGAACCAGCCAAGUAGCGUGCAGGAUGACGGCCCUAUGGGUUGUAAACUGCUUUUAGGCGGGGGUAAAGGGCGGACGUGUUCCGCCUUUGCAAGUACCGCCAGAAAAACGGACCGGCUAAUUCCGUG
rnacentral:rRNA from 1 species